AUCCUUCUGUAGCGCCUCACCGUGAUGAUUGCAUGUUGACAGGCACAUGUGAGAUGUGCCUUCUCCGUGAUCUAACAACAUCAACACACUUCCCAUCUAACG